UACGGGGGGAGCAAGCGUUGUUCGGAAUUAUUGGGCGUAAAGAGCUCGUAGGCGGCUUGUCACGUCGGGUGUGAAAGCCCGGGGCUUAACCCCGGGUCUGCAUUCGAUACGGGCUGGCUAGAGUGUGGUAGGGGAGAUCGGAAUUCCUGGUGUAGCGGUGAAAUGCGCAGAUAUCAGGAGGAACACCGGUGGCGAAGGCGGAUCUCUGGGCCAUUACUGACGCUGAGGAGCGAAAGCGUGGGGAGCGAACAGG
rnacentral:rRNA from 1 species